GGCGCUAUAGCCAAGUGGUUACGGCGACAGAUUAGAAUGUGUAUCUAUCAUCUAUCUGUUCCUCUUUGAGGGCGCAGGUUCAAAUCCUGCUGGCGUCG